UCAAUCAUUUUCACAAAUUCACCAUACUCAUCCAAUUCAAAGGUAAAUUAAAGGUCUAUCACUACCCAUGACAUAUUAUCAUAUAAUACCCGUUAAUCAACGAUAAACCCCCCUUACCUGAGUUAAUCCGGCAACUUCCGAGCUCUAAGCUUCUCCUUCCUUCAACCUUCGUUCUCUGGCUUUUUGCCCUUUCUCACGUUCUGCCUCUUUUUUUCCUUUUUCACGUGAAAACAAUAAACCUUUUUACCAAAUGGGACCUUUUUACUGAUUUCCACUUUUAUUCUAAUUAUAAAAUAAUAAUCCAAUAAUAAUAAUCCCAAUAAUUAUUAUUCCACAAAUAAUAAUAUU
rnacentral:lncRNA from 1 species